rnacentral:rRNA from 1 species
UACCAGCACCCCGAGUGGUCGGGACGAUUAUUGGGCCUAAAGCAUCCGUAGCCGGUUCUACAAGUCUUCCGUUAAAUCCACCUGCUUAACAGAUGGGCUGCGGAGGAUACUAUAGAGCUAGGAGGCGGGAGAGGCAAGCGGUACUUAGUGGGUAGGGGUAAAAUCCGUUGAUCCAUUGAAGACCACCAGUGGCGAAGGCGGCUUGCCAGAACGCACUCGACGAUGAGGGAUGAAAGCUGGGGGAGCAAACCGG